GCUCCAGCCUGGUUCCGCCCCCCGGGCUCGGUUCCUCUCGGCUGCACCUUCCUGCGCCGGGUUCCUGGGUGUUAACUGUUCUGAGGCGGCGCGCAAAGGUGUUUUCAUAAGAUGUGAAGAAUAAGCUCCAAGUGCUGCAGUUAUUCGAAAAGAGGGAUUACCUGAGAAAGCUCUGUGGGGAACACAACAUGAGACAAAUGGUGGAUCCUGUGCUGUGUGGGAUGUCAGAACCCAACAAAACAGUUUCGACAUCAUUCCAUCAACAAGAUGUGUUCAGAUCACAGAAGAAACCUCCUGGAGUAUUAAGACCUGUGUGAUGAAACUCCAUUGUCAACUCAACUGUUUAGAAUCACCUAGGAGACACAUCACUGUCGGUGAAGGUUCUCCAGAGAGGUUGAACUGAGUAAGGAAGACACAUCCUGAAUGUGGGCAGCAUCAGGCUGGAGUUCCAGACUGAAUAAAAAGAGAAAAAUGAAAACAUGAGAAUGAGCACCAGACUUACUCUCUCUCUCUCUCUCUCUCUCUCUCUCUCUCUCUCUCUCUCUCUCUCUCUCUGCUUUGUUACUGCAGAUGCAAUGUGACCAACCACCUCAUGCUCUCACAGCCAUUCCUUACCCGCCAUGAUGGACUUUAUCCCCUCAAACUGUAAGCCAAAGGAAACCCUUCCUUACGUAAAUUUCUUUUGUGAGAUAUUUCAUCCCAGCAGUGAGAAAAGUAACUGAUACAAAAAUCAAUACGGAGGUGUGGGACCACUAUGGUGAAAAAUUGCACCAUGUGGGUCAUGGGCCUUUGGAACUCGUUUAUGGGAGGAAUAUGGAAGAGUUUUGAUCUUUGGGUAAGAGAAGUCUUAGAAUUCUGUAAGCAGAGCUUAAUGGGCUAUUCUGGUGAGGGUAUGUCAGUGGAAGGAAGACGAUAAAGACUGUAUUCAUGAAGUUUCGGAGGGGAACUGGACUUUAUCAGGAACUGGGGUAGAGGCCAUUUGUGUUAUACUCUGGCAAAAAAAAAAUUAUGUGCUUGCUCCUUUUAUCUUAAAAACUUGAAUGAGACUGUAUUAUAAUAAGGUAAGACCGGGCCAAAGAGAUGGCUCAGUGGUUAAGAGCACUAGCUGGUCUUCCAGAAGACCUGGAUUUAGUUCUCAGCACUUACAUGGUGGCUCACAACUAUCUAUAACUUCAGUUCUAGGAGGUCCAAUGCCCUCUUGCCCUCUCUGGCCUCUGCCAGCACCAGGCAUAUACAUAGAACACACACAUGCAUGUAGGCAAAACAUUCAUACACAUAAAAAUAAGUAAAUAAAUCUUUUUACAAAAAGGUAAUGGACUAAGUUGUUUAGCGGGAAAAAAUUGAAGUCAUCAUAACAUCCAAGCUGAGGCGUAGUUAUUGCGUAUUGCU